rnacentral:rRNA from 1 species
CACAGUGUAGCAAUACAUGGGUGGCGACCGGCAAACGGGUGCGGAACACGUACGCAACCUUCCUUCAGGCGGGGAAUAGCCCAGAGAAAUUUGGAUUAAUACCCCAUAAUAUUUUGAGAUGGCAUCAUCUUAUUAUUAAAGCUACGGCACCUGGAGAUGGGCGUGCGGCUGAUUAGGUAGUUGGCGGGGUAAUGGCCCACCAAGCCUACGAUCAGUAGCUGAUGUGAGAGCAUGAUCAGCCACACGGGCACUGAGACACGGGCCCGACUCCUACGGGAGGCAGCAGUAAGGAAUAUUGGUCAAUGGACGCAAGUCUGAACCAGCCAUGCCGCGUGGAGGAUGAAGGUCCUCUGGAUUGUAAACUUCUUUUAUCUGGGACGAAAAAAGGGUUUUCUAACUCGUCUGACGGUACCAGAUGAAUAAGCACCGGCUAACUCCGUGCCAGCAGCCGCGGUAAUACGGAGGGUGCAAGCGUUAUCCGGAUUCACUGGGUUUAAAGGGUGCGUAGGCGGGCAUUUAAGUCAGUGGUGAAAUACCUGAGCUUAACUUGGGAGCUGCCAUUGAUACUAUUUGUCUUGAAUGUCGUGGAGGUUAGCGGAAUAUGUCAUGUAGCGGUGAAAUGCUUAGAUAUGACAUAGAACACCUAUUGCGAAGGCAGCUAACUACGCGAAUAUUGACGCUGAGGCACGAAAGCGUGGGGAUCAAACAGGAUUAGAUACCCUGGUAGUCCACGCCCUAAACGAUGAUUACUCGACAUUAGCGAUACACUGUUAGUGUAUGAGCG